AGAAUCAACGCUGGCGGCGUGCCUAACACAUGCAAGUCGCACGAGAAAGGGGAGCAAUCCCUGAGUACAGUGGCGCACGGGUGAGUAACACGUGAAUCAUCUACCUCCGAGUGGGGAAUAACUGAGAGAAAUCUUAGCUAAUACCGCAUAAUACCCACGGGUCAAAGCAGCAAUGCGCUUGGAGAGGAGUUCGCGGCAGAUUAGUUAGUUGGCGGGGUAAUGGCCCACCAAGACGAUGAUCUGUA
rnacentral:rRNA from 1 species